rnacentral:tRNA from 1 species
UGGGUUGUGGCUCAGUGGUAGAGUGCUUGCCUCUCAUGUGUGAGGCACUGGGUUCAAUUCUCAGCACCGUAU